UGGGGAAUUUUGGACAAUGGACGCAAGUCUGAUCCAGCCAUGCCGCGUGCGGGAAGAAGGCCUUCGGGUUGUAAACCGCUUUUGUCAGGGAAGAAACGAGUUUCUCUAAUACAGAGACUUAAUGACGGUACCUGAAGAAUAAGCACCGGCUAACUACGUGCCAGCAGCCGCGGUAAUACGUAGGGUGCAAGCGUUAAUCGGAAUUACUGGGCGUAAAGCGUGCGCAGGCAGUUAUGCAAGACAGAUGUGAAAUCCCCGGGCUCAACCUGGGAACUGCAUUUGUGACUGUAUAGCUAGAGUACGGCAGAGGGGGAUGGAAUUCCGCGUGUAGCAGUGAAAUGCGUAGAUAUGCGGAGGAACACCGAUGGCGAAGGCAAUCCCCUGGGCCUGUACUGACGCUCAUGCACGAAAGCGUGGGGAGCAAACA
rnacentral:rRNA from 1 species